UACGAAGGGGGCUAGCGUUGUUCGGAAUUACUGGGCGUAAAGCGCGCGCAGGCGGUCCUUUAAGUCAGGGGUGAAAGCCCAGAGCUCAACUCUGGAACUGCCUUUGAAACUAGAGGACUUGGGUACGGGAGAGGUGAGUGGAAUUCCGAGUGUAGAGGUGAAAUUCGUAGAUAUUCGGAAGAACACCAGUGGCGGAGGCGGCUCACUGGCCCGUUACCGACGCUCAGGCGCGACAGCGUGGGGAGCAAACAGG
rnacentral:rRNA from 1 species